rnacentral:ncRNA from 1 species
UGAACUAUGCCUGAGCAGGAUGAAGCCAGAGGAAACUCUGGUGGAAGUCCGUAUCGGUUCUGACGUGCAAAUCGAUCGAUAGACUUGGGUAUAGGGGCGAAAGACUAAUCGAACCAUCUAGUAGCUGGUUCCUUCCGAAGUUUCCCUCAGGAUAGCUGGAACUCUUGCAGUUAUAUUCGGUAAAGCUAAUGAUUAGAGGCCUUGGGGACGUAAUGUCCUCAACCUAUUCUCAAACUUUCAAUGGAUAUGGCGUCGCAGUUUCUUUAGUGAACUGCGGCGUGAAUGCGAGUUCCAAGUGGGCCAUUUUUGGUAAGCAGAACUGGCGCUGUGGGAUGAACCAAACGUGGAGUUAAGGUGCCUAACUUCUCGGUUAUGAGACCCCAUAAAAGGUGUUGGUUGAUAUUGACAGCAGGACGGUGGCCAUGGAAGUCGGUACCCGCUAAGGAGUGUGUAACAACUCACCUGCCGAAUCAACUAGCCCUGAAAAUGGAUGGCGCUUAAGCGAGAGACCUAUACUCCGCCGUCGCGGCAUGUGCGUUGUCUAGCGCCAGGUCGCGACGAGUAGGAAGGACGUGGCGGUUGCGUUGAAGGCUAUGAGCGUACGCUCGGCUGGAGCUUCCGUCAGUGCAGAUCGUAAUGGUAGUAGCAAAUAUUCAAGUUCGAUCCUUGAAGACUGAAGUGGAGAAGGGUUCCACGUGAACAGUAGUUGGAUGUGGGUCAGUCGAUCCUAAGGUACUGGCGAAAGCCUUGUAUCAUCGGUGGCGAAAAGCUUGCUUUUUGUCCCCGCCCGUCGAAAGGGAAUAGGGUUAAUAUUCCCUAACUGAGAUGCAAAGAUUGUGUUCUUCGGAGCACAAGCGCGGUAACGCGUUCGAACUUGGUAAGUCGCUCAGAGACCGAGCUAGAGUUUUCUUCUCUAGUUAAGGAACGGACUCCCUGGAAUUGGUUCAGCCAGAGAUGGGGACGUUGUUUCCGAAAAGCACCGCGGUUUCUGUGGUGUCUCGUGCUCUCUGAACGGCCCUUUAAACACCAAGGGAGGCUAUUAAUUUGCACUCAAUCGUACCGAUAUCCGCAUUAGGUCUCCAAGGUGAACAGCCUCUAGUCGAUAGAAUAAUGUAGGUAAGGGAAGUCGGCAAACUAGAUCCGUAACUUCGGGAAAAGGAUUGGCUCCAGUGGUCGGAACGGUUGGCCAGUUGGUUGAUGCUUGUCCGGCGCUGUUCUGUCUGCUUGAUGCUUUCGGGCUGAUGGCGGCCUAGUGAUAGUGCUUGCUUGUUGACGCUUUCUGGUGUGUGCUUUGACCUCGGUCUUAGUAUCCUGAUCGUUCAUCUAAACGACUAAACUGGAACCGGUACGGACUCAGGAAUCCGACUGUCUAUUAAAACAGAGUGACAGAUGGUCCUUGCGGACGCUGA